CCGGGGAUCUGCCAAAACGUAGAUAUUUUUCUACGUUUUGGCCUGUCAUCCACACGAAAACGGAGUUUUUUCACACGAAAACGGAUCUUUUUAAAAACUCCGGCCAAAGUGAAGAUCUGCGUUUUCUCCGUUUUGGGUGUCUGCGUGUGGACAGACAAAACCGGAGUUUUAAGGUCCGCAACGUCACUUUCCACGACAAAAAAUGCUGACAUCACGUGUGCGACCUGUGUUUACACUAGCCGACAGCAUGGAUGCCCUCAGAGCUGCGCUCGCUUUAUCAAUUGUCCAAGCGCUUUUUGCUUGUUUGUUUUUGCAAGCGGAAUUACUGCUCCUUGCGGAAGACCACAGACGAAGGACGAGGUUAAGAACGGGGGAAGUACUGCCGCCUACAGGUCUGGCAUGUCCUUAACAACGUAUUUAUCCGGGUACGUGUGGACAGAGUUUUUUUUUAAACGAGGUGGUGUGGAUGCAAGUUUUUGGAGGGGCGGAUAUUCGUUUUUAAAAAAAAACCCGGCUGCGUGUGGACUAGGCCUUAGGCUCCCUGUACUGCUCUGUUAUUUUUUGCUUUAAAAAAAUGGUAUGGGCAACGUUCAAAGACAUGUGUUGCUCAUGACUAGCUUCAAAGAGGGAUUAAAUAAUGUUUUUUUAAUUAUCAUUUUUAUUACUAUGAUGAUAUUUUCCCCUCCUGCUGACUUGUUCUAAUGCAACUUGCAAGUCCUUAAUUCCUACUAGAGACGAGAUACAUCGAUUAAAUGAAUGACCCACAUCUUUAUACUCAGAGUGACUGAUCAUUUUCCAAAAUAAGUAAAAAAUGGUUUCUCCAUGAAGGACCUUUUUAAUCUAAAUAGCACCUAGUCAAAUGCAUGAGUGGAGAAAAAGCUAAUUCUGUAAAAUCAAAUAUCACCUCUGAUUGAUCUUAAGUGUUUUAAACACUACAAACAAAUAACUUUUCCUCUUUCACGUUCAUUUAAAACAAGGCUGAACAUUUUUCUACUAAAACAAAUUCUUUGUAAAUUCUCAAAUCUGCAAAGGUGGAAUUUAUUUUAUAGCGAUGCAUGUUUGAAGAGCCCUUUCACGUUUUGAAAAGCCGCAUACUUUAGAAAAGACACUAAUAAAAAGAUUGCAAAGGAUUCUGCAAACAAUCGGAAUUGCACCAGAACUAGAAAAUGGCACAAAGUGUAAAUCAGGCUGAAUAGGAACAUGGACAGGCUACUGACCACAUUCAGAUCACAUAUAGAUUUGUCAUAAUUAAACGUACAAUCGGUGCUCUAAGGAGCUUUGAAAGAAAAGCGUCUGGACUUCUUUGAGUCCAGACGCUUUUCUUUCAAAGCUCCUUAGACUACAAUGACCUGGAUGACUGAGAACCUUCACAGACGUACAAUCGGUGCAUUCUACUAAAGGUUUGACUUGAACUAUGAACACUAUGAGAACAUUGUCUCUAAAAGGCGUCUCUUCAGUCAUGUCCUAUUUUUCUUUUAACAGAAUACAUUUGUCUCUUCAGCAUGUAAAAAAAGUAAAUAUACAAUAAAUUAGAUCUUAAAUAACUGCAAAGAAAAAAGAUGAACCUUCAUGAAAGAAAUGAUUGUGCAAAGGGGAAAUUAAUUCAUUAUUUAAUGAAAUUCGUGGAAUGCACUGCAGAUAGACCUUUCCUUUCACAGCAUUGAGAGGAAAACAUGACCGAACAAAAGGGUCCCAGUUACCUCAAACCUCACCUCUAAAGUCAAGAUUAAUACCACAUAUUUGGAAGAUCUAAUUGGCCACAAGAGAAAGACCUUGGGUGUUUUGUUUUAAAAAGCCAUUCUAAUGAAUGCUGAGCCUUGAAUCACAGAGAUCAUCAGCUCCACAUUGAAGCCAUUGAUCGUAGAGGCUACGUUUUCUGAUGAAUUUGUGUUCAAAAUAAACAUAAUAAUAAUAAUGAUGCACCAUCUCUUCGUGGAAGUGUGCCCCUGACGGGAUGUGCCAUCUGAGAAAAGCGCCGUAGCGUGUUCAGAGGGUAAAUACCAGAAAGGUAAGAGGACAUGAAGAUGAACAACAAGCUCACACAGCAGCUUCUAUCCUAUCGUUAAAAUGUUGGAGGGCUGCCGGCUGUCUCUGCACAGGGGAAAGUGGCUGUCGGGUGGGACUGUUCCACAUGAAAACACAAGCACCAGGAGAGGCUUAAUAGGAAAUUCAAACACUGUCAAUCGUUUCACAGCUGUGACAAUGUCAGCGCAGGGCUGUAUUAACCGACAACCCCUGAUAACCGGGUCUAAGUUCGGUGCAAAUCCAUUCACUGGACUAGCGGCUCGUAUCAGCCGGGCCCGGAACAGACACGGACUUAGAGCAUCAGAAACUUAUUAAGCACUUGGUCCCACUUAACACUAAGUGCUUCCAGAUAUGUGUUUAAUAUCUCCUAGUCCAGGUAGUCUGGAGUUUAAGCUAUAAAAAUGUCAUUUCAUGUCUGUAAUCCUGUCUAUUACUCUGAGGUUUUAGGGGUCUGGUUUUCAGGAGAGCGCUCACAUUAAGCAAGCAGAGAAACUCUCCUGAUGUUCAUGGAUAUGCAGCCUUUUUAUUUAAAGCCUGUUUUAAACCAGAUGCUCAAAAGUGUGUGUGUGUGUGUGUGUGUGUGUGUGUGUGUGUGUGUGUGUGUGUGUGUGUGUGUGUGUGUGUGUGUGUAUAAAACCGUCCAAGAUCAGGUCCACUACAAGAGGCCUGGGAGCUUGAGGGUUCUGCAGUAUCUUAG
rnacentral:lncRNA from 1 species